GUAAUUUCACAAAAUCUGAUGAAAUAACUUCCGACUUCUUCGAAUGUCAACCUUUGCCUUGGCGUCAGUUCUUGUUCUGCUUCUACUUCUUCUUCCUGGGUACCCCACUUGUGGCAUUAUUAUUUUAAUGCCUCAGGCGGUCACUUUAGAUAUUUGAUUAUUCAACUAUUCUCAUCUUUAUCUCCCAGAAGUUUCAAUCCUAGAUAGAAGAAUAUGUCCUCUUUUUCAUUUGUCAGCAGAUGAAUCAUCUUCUUUCCCAUACGUUGUAUAGCAAAAAUAAAGAAAAGAUUUGUUUUCUUGCUUACAUUAAACAACAAUAUUUCUUACUUGCACUCUUUAAAUUCUUCCCCUUUAUGAUUAGUUUUUAAGGAUGAUGAAAUCAGCAAAAGACAAGGGGUUCGGAUACUCGGUCAAAGUUCUUGAUUCUUACCAAGAAACCUUCUUCUUGUUGGCCUGUUCUUAUUGUUGGCUUGAGGAAUCAUUCGGGAAGGUCAAUGAUAACUUGCUGGAUAUUAGGACGGCGUUGUUUACAAGGCUUGCAUUGAGGUAUAGGACUUUCCAACAAAAGCAUUGGGAUUUUGGAUUUUCAAGCAAGGGGUUUUGCUAUGAUGGAAAUGGGUUCAAGAAGUCAGGUCUUCCUCCUAAUUUUUGCAUCCCAAAUUCUGGCUAUACUGGGACAAACAAACAGCAAUGAUGGUUUGGUAGUUAUUGAGUCUUACAACCCGGAACUUAAUAGCUAUAGUUGAGUAUAUUCCAAGUUCCUAACAGCUCAAAAGUACAAACAGCUGAUUUUUGUGCAGUACUAGGGACUCAUGGAAUAGAAACAAGGAACUUUCAUACUCCAUCCUGCACCAUGGUUUAUUCCAUUUAUGGAAUUUAAACAAAGCCUAUUGCUUUACUUUCUUCGAUGUCCCCAUUUGUAGGGGCUGAAUUUUGAUUUGACUAUUUAGUUCAGUUUGUAUUUAAGCUUGUGUUGGAAGGACUAUGAAGUGCCUAUGAUCCGCAGCCAAUAGUUCUUGCUGA